rnacentral:rRNA from 1 species
AUUGAACGCUAGCGGGAUGCUUUACACAUGCAAGUCGAACGAGUGGCGGACGGGUGAGUAAUAUAUCGGAAAGUGCCCAGUAGCGGGGGAUAACUACUCGAAACAGUGGCUAAUACCGCAUACUAUUGGAUCUGCCGAUAUCGGAUUAGCUAGUUGGUGGGGUAAAGGCUCACAAAGGCAACGAUCCGUAGCUGGUUUGAGAGGAAGACCAGCCACACUGGGACUGAGACACGGCCCAGACUCCUACGGGAGGCAGCAGGGGGGAAUUUUGGACAAUGGGCGAAACCCUGAUCCAGCCAUCCCGCGUGUAUGAGAAGGCCUGCGGGUUGUAAAGUACUUUUGGCAGAGAGGCGGUAUCUGCAGAAUAAGCACCGGCUAACUACGUGCCAGCAGCCGCGGUAAUUC